CCCCUGCCUGCUCCAAAGUGCAGCACUCGAGAUUUAUAAGAGCCACAGAUCCUCGGCACUGGUUUGGCACAAGACUUCCCGAGCAGGACAUGUAACCCACAAUAUUUAGCCAGUAUCCAGGGCUCACAGCUUUGCUUCUUGUGAGAUUAAACGAAGAUGAUGGUCUUAAAAUGGUUUUACCACGAGAAAACAUCCACACAAGGAAUACACCUGUUGUCUUGCCCUGAAGGCCUCACACUGCCAUUCUGAGGAGUUUACAACUAAAUGAUAGAGCCCGAGGGUUUACCACAGAUCAUGGGGAGACAAUGCAGAGCCAAUAUAUAACUCUAAGAAAGAUGGAAGUACUACUAAACACAGCGACAGACAGUCCUCACCUGAUGAAAGGUCUGGAGAUGGCCAGGACGGUCCGGAUGAACCACGUUGGCAUCUCUUCAGCCAGCUGAUGCCGGGCAUCUUCCUGCGAGGAGUCGCUCCGUUCAGGUACGGUCUGAUGACCUGCAUGUCAAUCCUCUGCUCCUGAUCACCGAUGAUCACUGUUCGCCACAGACGGCCGGCUGAGUCUCUCUCUUCGUCACUUUCCCCUGGAAGACGCUUUGCAGUGGCCACAGGAGUGUCAUCUGCACACAAGGUGAAGAAGGUUUGAUUGUUUAACCGUACUUCCCCACCUGCCUGAACAAGUCACAAUGAGGCCAUUGCACUCGUUGCCGUUGUUGAUGAACUCCAGCGAGUCCGUCUCAUCAGGAGUCUCCAUGUCGUCUACGUUGAUGUCCAGGUCGUCGGGUGUCUCCAGAAACUCAUCAGAGAGCACGGAGCCCUCGCUCUGAUCCAGCGACAGGUUCAUGUCGGGGGCGAUCAGAGUGCGACGCUUACGCUGAGCCAUGGUCUCGCCCACAUUUAGAGUGGUGGGAGGAUCUGGACGGACCGGCCAUUAAAGUUUAGACACACAGCUAACAGUACAGCUUAAAAUAAAAGAUAUAUUUUGCGAAUGCUGUGUAUUUACCCCACUUACUGGUUCUGUUGUCAGUGAGGCCAUCUCCAUCCUCUGGUAGAGGCCUGCAGGGAAAUGUGUGAACGAUCAACUAAAGUACAAUGACAUGGAAACCCUAUAAAUCACAAAUAAAUUAACAGGUUUAUGAAUUAUA